rnacentral:rRNA from 1 species
UACGUAGGGUCCAAGCGUUUGUCCGGAUUUAUUGGGCGUAAAGAGCUCGUAGGCGGUUCGGUAAGUCGGAUGUGAAAACUCAGGGCUCAACCCGGAGACGCCAUCCGAUACUGCUGUGACUGGAGUCUGGUAGGGGAUCACGGAAUUCCUGGUGUAGCGGUGAAAUGCGCAGAUAUCAGGAGGAACACCGGUGGCGAAGGCGGUUCUCUGGGCCUUACCUGACGCUGAGGAGCGAAAGCGUGGGGAGCAAACAGG